rnacentral:rRNA from 1 species
CCUACGGGUGGCAGCAGUAGGGAAUCUUCCACAAUGGGCGAAAGCCUGAUGCAGCAACGCCGCGUGGGUGAAGAAGGUCUUCGGAUCGUAAAACCCUGUUGUUAGAGAAGAAAGUGCGUGAGAGUAACUGUUCACGUUUCGACGGUAUCUAACCAGAAAGCCACGGCUAACUACGUGCCAGCAGCCGCGGUAAUACGUAGGUGGCAAGCGUUAUCCGGAUUUAUUGGGCGUAAAGGGAACGCAGGCGGUCUUUUAAGUCUGAUGUGAAAGCCUUCGGCUUAACCGGAGUAGUGCAUUGGAAACUGGGAGACUUGAGUGCAGGAGAGGAGAGUGGAACUCCAUGUGUAGCGGUGAAAUGCGUAGAUAUAUGGAAGAACACCAGUGGCGAAGGCGGCUCUCUGGUCUGUAACUGACGCUGAGGUUCGAAAGCGUGGGUAGCAAACAGGAUUAGAUACCCCAGUAGUC